AUUGAACGCUGGCGGCAUGCUUUACACAUGCAAGUCGAACGGUAACAGGUCUUCGGAUGCUGACGAGUGGCGAACGGGUGAGUAAUGCAUCGGAACGUGCCCAGUCGUGGGGGAUAACGCAGCGAAAGCUGUGCUAAUACCGCAUACGAUCUAUGGAUGAAAGCGGGGGACCGUAAGGCCUCGCGCGAUUGGAGCGGCCGAUGUCAGAUUAGCUAGUUGGUGGGGUAAAGGCCCACCAAGGCGACGAUCUGUAGCUGGUCUGAGAGGACGACCAGCCACACUGGGACUGAGACACGGCCCAGACUCCUACGGGAGGCAGCAGUGGGGAAUUUCGGACAAUGGGCGAAAGCCUGAUCCAGCCAUGCCGCGUGAGUGAAGAAGGCC
rnacentral:rRNA from 1 species